GAUGAACGCUAGCGACAGGCUUAACACAUGCAAGUCGAGGGGCAGCAUAAAAGUAGCAAUACUUUGGUGGCGACCGGCGCACGGGUAAGUAACGCGUAUGCGACCUACCUAUCAGAGGGGGAUAACCCGGCGAAAGUCGGACUAAUACCGCAUAAAACAGGGGCACCGCAUGGUGAUAUUUGUUAAAGAUUAAUUGCUGAUAGAUGGGCAUGCGUUCCAUUAGGUAGUUGGUGAGGUAAUGGCUCAGCAAGCCGACGAUGGAUAGGGGAACUGAGAGGUUGGUCCCCCACACUGGUACUGAGACACGGACCAGACUCCUACGGGAGGCAGCAGUGAGGAAUAUUGGUCAAUGGGCGAGAGCCUGAACCAGCCAAGUCGCGUGAAGGAAGAAGGAUCUAUGGUUCGUAAACUUCUUUUGCAGGGGAAUAAAGUGGAGGACGUGUCCUCUUUUGUAUGUACCCUGAGAAUAAGGAUCGGCUAACUCCGUGCCAGCAGCCGCGGUAAAAC
rnacentral:rRNA from 1 species